rnacentral:rRNA from 1 species
GGUAAACGCUGGCGAUGUGCCUUACACAUGCAAGUCGAACGGCAGCACGGGUGCUUGCACCUAGUGGCGAGUGGCGAACGGGUGAGUAAUACAUCAGAACGUACCUUAUCGUGGGGGAUAACGCAGCGAAAGUUGCGCUAAUACCGCAUACGCCCUGAGGGGGAAAGCGGGGGACCGUAAGGCCUCGCGCGAUUAGAGCGGCCGAUGUCUGAUUAGCUUGUUGGUGAGGUAAAAGCUCACCAAAGCGAUGAUCAGUAGCUGGUCUGAGAGGACGAUCAGCCACACUGGGACUGAGACACGGCCCAGACUCCUACGGGAGGCAGCAGUGGGGAAUUUUGGACAAUGGGGGCAACCCUGAUCCAGCAAUGCCGCGUGAGUGAAGAAGGCCUUCGGGUUGUAAAGCUCUUUUGUCAGGGAAGAAACAGCAGCUCUAACACAGUCUGCGAAUGACGGUACCUGAAGAAUAAGCACCGGCUAACUACGUGCCAGCCGCCGCAGUAA